CGCGUAGGUGGCCUGAUAAGGGUGUGGUGAAAGUCCGGGGCUCAACCCCGGAUCGGCCGUGCCGACUGUUAGGCUAGAGUACUGUAGGGGCAGGCGGAAUUCCGGGUGUAGCGGUGGAAUGCGUAGAGAUCCGGAGGAAGACCGGUGGCGAAGGCGGCCUGCUGGGCAGUUACUGACACUGAGGCGCGACAGCGUGGGGAGCAAACA
rnacentral:rRNA from 1 species